CGGCGGACGGGUGAGUAAUGCCUAGGAAUCUGCCUGGUAGUGGGGGACAACGUUUCGAAAGGAACGCUAAUACCGCAUACGUCCUACGGGAGAAAGCAGGGGACCUUCGGGCCUUGCGCUAUCAGAUGAGCCUAGGUCGGAUUAGCUAGUUGGUGAGGUAAUGGCUCACCAAGGCGACGAUCCGUAACUGGUCUUAGAGGAUGAUCAGUCACACUGGAACUGAGACACGGUCCAGACUCCUACGGGAGGCAGCAGGU
rnacentral:rRNA from 1 species